GGGCUUAGCUCAAUGGUAGAGCACCUGCUUUCUGUGCAGAAGGUCCAAGGUUCAAUUUCCCAGCAUCUCCA